AAUUGCCUCAGCAGUUUUCACAGGGACAGUCGAUUUCUCAACUACAAUCUUGUCAGAUUUCGAUACAUCGGCAAUCAUACGAGCAGCGCUCUCCCAGUAUGUGAGAUCUGCAGCUUUACCAGCUCCGAGACCCCUAGUUUUUGUGGGAGUGUUGACAGAGACAAAAACAAUAUCAGCCUCAGAGACAUGUUUCUCCACAUCAGUGCUGAAGAA
rnacentral:misc_RNA from 1 species